UACCUAAACAAAUUUAAAAAGUUAAGCUUUUAAAUAACUAUUAAAGAUAUUAUCCCCUUGUAGUGUAGUUUAAUAGCUAUCUACAUAUUAACUUAAUAUAAAGUAUAAUAGUUUAUAUUUUAUAAUAUGACGUUAACAAUUUUGUUUAAUAUUUGAAAAUGUUAGUAUUAGUAAUAUUAGUAUAUGUGCUAAAGGAACUCGGCAAAAAACCACUCAACUGUUUAUCAAAAACAUAGCUAUAUGAAUUAAUAUAUAGUUAUUUCUGCUCAAUGAUUUAAAUAGCCGCAGUACUCUGACUGUGCAAAGGUAGCAUAAUCAGUUGGCUUUUAAUUAGAGUCUGGUAUGAACGAAAAUAUGGGUAGUAACUGUCUUAGCACAUUUUUUCGAACUUAUUAAACAAGUGCAAAUGCUUGUAAUUUAACAAUAGACGAGAAGACCCUAGAAACUUGGACAAGUUUUUGUUGGGGCGACAGAAUUACACUUAACUAAUCUUAUAAUACACGACGCGAUGUUGAAAGAAUAAGUUACUCUAGGGAUAACAGCAUAAUUUCAUUAGUUUGUGACCUCGAUGUUGGACUAGGUACUAUACCCUUAAGGCAAGGAUAUAUUAUGCUCUGUUCGAGCAAAAUUACCUA
rnacentral:rRNA from 1 species